rnacentral:rRNA from 1 species
UACGAAGGGGGCUAGCGUUGUUCGGAUUUACUGGGCGUAAAGCGCACGUAGGCGGAUCGUUAAGUCGGGGGUGAAAUCCUGGAGCUCAACUCCAGAACUGCCCUCGAUACUGGCGAUCUUGAACUCGGAAGAGGUAAGUGGAACUCCUAGUGUAGAGGUGGAAUUCGUAGAUAUUAGGAAGAACACCAGUGGCGAAGGCGGCUUACUGGUCCGAUGUUGACGCUGAGGUGCGAAAGCGUGGGGAGCAAACAGG